rnacentral:rRNA from 1 species
GUAUGUCACGAGCGUUAUCCGGAUUUAUUGGGCGUAAAGCGCGUCUAGGUGGUUAURUAAGUCUGAUGUGAAAAUGCAGGGCUCAACUCUGUAUUGCGUUGGAAACUGWAUAACUAGAGUACUGGAGAGGUAAGCGGAACUACAAGUGUAGAGGUGAAAUUCGUAGAUAUUUGUAGGAAUGCCGAUGGGGAAGCCAGCUUACUGGACAGAUACUGACGCUAAAGCGCGAAAGCGUGGGUAGCAAACAGGAUUAGAUACCCUGGUAGUCCACGCUGUAAACGAUGAUUACUAGGUGUUGGGGGUCGAACCUCAGCGCCCAAGCAAACGCGAUAAGUAAUCCGCCUGGGGAGUACGUACGCAAGUAUG